rnacentral:lncRNA from 1 species
GAAUUCUGCUUUAACAUGUGGAAGACGGAACUCUACUAAGAACAAACCAGAUGAUAUUGAUUGUUUACUGACCCUAGCAAAAGUAGAGUUGAAUGCAUAUGAGCAUUACCCCAAGUCCUAGGGAUUCAAAAUUGAGAUAUGAAGAGGAAAUGUGUGAAAAAAUAAAGCAAAGUGUAUGGUAUUGUAAGAAGAAAGAUGCUAAUCCAACAGAUUCCACAAGGGAGACAAGUUCUUCAUUCCCAGCAAGAGUGGACUACCAGAGAGUUCAUUUUUCCCUUGAGAUAAAUUGGUACUUCAUUUUCCUCUGUCCUCACUAAGAACAUAAUAGAUCAUACCUGAUGUGUUGCUAAAGAUGAGUGACGAACUGAACAGACUGCCAACACAUCACUGUGUUUUAAAGCAUAGGUGUUGGGGGUCUCAGUAUUCCUAAUAAAAAAAAAAAGGCUGAUGCUCAGAUUAUUGGGCAGAUGGUCUAUAGGAAAGUAUAUUAACCAAGUAAAUCUUUAUAUUGAUUAAGCUAUUUCAGCAACAAAUGUUGAGAGGGCAUAAUGAAGUUUAAUAGCAUGGAUAUUAAACAGCUCGUACUGAUAGCCUUUCAGGGUCAGUAUGUGAUCUUUGAAUUCUAAGUACUGUAUUUUUUUCAGUUGCCCAGAUUCCUUUCUUUUAUAAGUCCUUUGAGCUAUUGGCUCCAAUCUGAAAGACAGAUCUUUAUGAUGACAUUUCACUGUAGCUUUCCAUUCUUAAACUCAAUAUAUUGAACUUCUAAAAGACCAGUUUGGUUAGAUCUCGUUAUAGAAGAUUGCUAUUUUUCACAUUUCUAUUUCAUGAAAUGUUUUAUUUCAUCUUAAUGUGUACCACAAUUCACCUGACUCUGGACUUCCUAUUAUGUUUUAUAUUAUUUU